GGUUGACCUCGGAUCAGGUAGGGAUACCCGCUGAACUUAAGCAUAUCAAUAAGCGGAGGAAAAGAAACCAACAGGGAUUGCCUCAGUAACGGCGAGUGAAGCGGCAAGAGCUCAAAUUUGAAAUCUGGCCCCCUCGGGGUCCGAGUUGUAAUUUGCAGAGGAUGCUUCGGGUGCGGCCCCCGUCUAAGUGCCCUGGAACGGGCCGUCAUAGAGGGUGAGAAUCCCGUCUGGGACGGGGUGUCCGCGUCCGUGUGAAGCUCCUUCGACGAGUCGAGUUGUUUGGGAAUGCAGCUCUAAAUGGGUGGUAAAUUUCAUCUAAAGCUAAAUACUGGCCGGAGACCGAUAGCGCACAAGUAGAGUGAUCGAAAGAUGAAAAGCACUUUGAAAAGAGAGUUAAAAAGCACGUGAAAUUGUUGAAAGGGAAGCGCUUGCGACCAGACUCGCCCGCGGGGUUCAGCCGGCAUUCGUGCCGGUGUACUUCCCCGUGGGCGGGCCAGCGUCGGUUUGGGCGGCCGGUCAAAGGCCCCCGGAAUGUAGCACCCUUCGGGGUGCCUUAUAGCCGGGGGUGCAAUGCGGCCAGCCUGGACCGAGGAACGCGCUUCGGCACGGACGCUGGCAUAAUGGUCGUAAACGACC
rnacentral:rRNA from 1 species